rnacentral:lncRNA from 10 species
GGGGACUCAGGCUGGUCAGGGCAGGUUCGGAGGCGGGCCUGGUUUGGAGAAACAACCACCCAUCAGCCAGGCUUGGGGAGGGGAAGGCCAGAGGAGAGGAAGGAGGAGUCUGGAGAGGGGAGAGAAAGACGUAGAAAAACAGACAAGGAGAGAGGGCAGGAGUGGGGGACACAGGUACUGGGAGAGAGUAGAGACACAGAGACAAGAGAGAAAAGGCAACAAAGACAAAGCCAGAGACGCCCAGCCCGAGAGACAGAGCCACACGGAGAGAAUGGAGAGGGGAGCAGGGUCAGAGGGCCCGGACGACGCAGAGAAGGACGCGAAAGGACGUGAGAGGGACUUCCCCCAGGGGCAGGGAGAGGCCUUGGGCAGCUCCUCCGCUGGGCCGGGCUGCCUGCCUGCUGGACUCCGGGAAGGAGGCAGUGACCGCACCCAUCUGGAAGCUGUCAGGUCCCUCAAGGAUGAGGGCGUUGGGAGGAAGCCAGACAUGAGCCACGUCUAGAGAGAGGAAGCGGCGGGAUUUGAAAAAGAUGGCCCUCCUUCUGGGAGAGCACCCACUGCUCAUCUGAAUUCUAGAGAACCACUCAAGUGCAUAUAGACGGCAUCCAUCCUAAGAAGGAAAGUGCUCUCUAAGAAGCCACUAUGCCUGAAAUGCCACCAUAUGUAUACACCAUUCCACUAUGGAAAACAUUGCCUUUUCGGGGCUCUUCCUGUGAAAUGCAGGCCAUGAGCUCUUGCUGGACAUACCAGAACAAAGACAUAGUCUCUUCAAGAUGGCAUUCACAGCCAUAGGGCAGGACGACAGGUGGGCGACAACCAUAGCCAGCAGAAGAGCAGACACUGGAACAGAGGUUCAAACCAACAACUAUGGAGCGAGCUGAGCCUUUUAUUGAAGCGUAAUACAUAUACAGAAAAAUUCACCUAUCAUAAGUAUGCAUCUUGGUAAAUUUUCACAAGGAAUAUACCCAUGGAACCAACAUCCAGAUCAAAAUCUGUCAGGCGUCUAGCACCCAGAAGCCCCUGCGGGUCCCUGCCAGUUACUAUGUGCCCCCAAGGCUGACCACUGUCCUGUCUUCUGGUACCACAGGUUUGUUUUGCCUGUUUUUUGAACUUUAUAAAUGCAAGUGUACAGUAUGAACUGUGUCGUGUUCUGUUGUUCAACAGGACGUCUGUGAGAUUUCUCAAUAUUGCAGCUAUCUCCGUAGCUUGUAGCACUCCAUUGUGUGAAUCCGCCACUGUCUGUUGAUGGGCACUGGGUGGUCUCCAGUUCUUGGCUAUUAUGCAUAGUGCUCUGAAUAUCCUUGCAUGCGUCUUUGGUACACAUGCCUGUUGGGUAUAUUCCCAGGAGUAGACUUGGUGGGUUGGAGAGCAUGCGCAUGUUCAACUUGAAUAUGUGACGCCAAAUCAUUUUCUCAAGUGUUUGUAGAUGGAGGGUUUUGAGCAAGGAGGUGGCAGGAGCAGGCCUGGGUCUCGGCCGUCCCUCUCUGCACAGGCUGAGUGUGAAGGGCAUAGGGACAUCCCAGUGGAGCUGUCCUAAGGCUAGAGAGCAGUGGGUCUGGAGCUGGGGAGCUGGGGAGCUAGGCAGCAAGGCUCUGGGCUGAAGAAGGUGGAGAGGGUGUGGAGUGAGGAAGGUAGGGACCAGGGCCAGGCCAUGGAUACAGCCAUAAUGAGGAUGCCACGGAGACAGAGGAGCCCUCAGAGGCAACUGAGGAGGUGCAGCCUAGAGAAGAGGGAAGACCCGGCAAGAGGAAAGGAAGCAAAUCACAUGGGUGCCAAGGGGAGCAUCUGAGGCAGAGGCAGGCAUAGAGCACCAGAGGCACUAAGAGGGCCAGUUAGUCAAGACUGAGCAGGAUGUGUCCACCAGACUUGAUAAGGGAGCUGUGGGGACCUUAAGGAAGUCAUGGUCAAUGGGGUUGGUGUGUGUGCCAG